UACAAAACACGUGACUACUUAAUGAAGUAGUUUGUACAUAGACUCGGUUAGACACAUCCUCCAUUGCUUCUUCAACCCCAGAUCCUCACAGCCUGCACCCAAGUGAAAAACAUUCCUCCAAAAGGGAACCGUACGGCCUGUUCAGUGCAGUUUAAAGCACUGGACCGGUGUAUUGUUAUGUACCAGGGGCUUCACUGCAGCUGUGGUUUAGGAGGUUCAUUUGUCAGAUCCAUUUGUGUUGAGUGAGUUUGGUGUUGGUGCGUCCACACAUUCCACCUCUCAUCUCUCUGAGUCAAACAAGAGCCUCACUAAAGUUCACUAAAGCUCAGAGACUUUAUACCUGUGUUUAUGGAGGUGGGACUGAGCUGGAGGAGCUGAGCUCCUUCAGCGUCUGCUAAGGCUAAAGUGGAGGGUGGCUCUUAUGGUGGAUUUGACUCUGGUUUUGAUUGUAUUGGCGUUGUGCAUAAACACAGGGAAAGCUGUUGGUGUCCAGAGGAUAUUGUGUUUCUCUUAUUAUUCUUUGAUCAUUUCACUACCGCCUGUAGGUAGUCGACUCAUGGCUUCGGCACACUCCCUACCCUCAGUAGGAGAAUCACUUAAUUAAGACUUUUUAUAAUAGCUAACUAUAAGACCAUCAUUACGCUGUGCGUAACGAAUGUACAGAGAAAGAAUCGUAGGUAUUUUUUGAGGAACAAUUAAUUUGUUAAUGAUAUGUAGCUAUUUAAUUGUUGUUUUCCUGUCCUAUAUUGUAAUCAUUGCAUUUCUCUUGUGAAAAAGUUGAUCUUUUUGUUUAUAGAUUUGUGUUGUUAGCGUAAGGUUCAAGUGCAGGAACACAGUAAAUGUAUGAAACCACAUUCAGCCUCUGCUGUGGCCCGACAAUCGCUACUUCCAUAAAACUCCCACUCUCCCAUAUUCAUUUGUGUGGAUCAUCUGUGUGGAUCAUCUGUGUGGAGCAUCGUCUGCAGUGACCUGGACUGAGUCAGUAAGUGAGUGAGCAAUAAACUGUCUUUGAGUUUCUGAUGAAACUGUGAUCUGAAGAGGACAUUUAUCACAAUAUUCAACAGGUCGGACCCUUUUCAGAAAACCUCUGAGCGAUGGAACAGUCAAACAAAUGUAAACAAAUGUUGUGCAUGAGGCUGAAAUGAUCAAAUCUGAUUUUGUACUUUGUUAUUGGGGAUUUUUAUAGAUAAGAAGAUUGACUCAGCCUUCUGAAGUGGAAGUAGCCUGUACUGUGGUAGUAAUACUCUGAACUGUUAACACUUGUACCAGUUUGUGGCUGUGUCUCCUGAGAAAAGGUUUUGGCAGGCCACCCUUUUGUACGUAAAGUAGCCUCGAUGAACAAUAAAGUGCUUUUAAACCACA
ensembl:lncRNA